GACGAACGCUGGCGGCGUGCUUAACACAUGCAAGUCGAACGCUGAAGGCCUGGCUUUUGUUGGGUUGGAUGAGUGGCGAACGGGUGAGUAACACGUGAGUAACCUGCCCUCUUCUUUGGGAUAACGCCCGGAAUCGGGUGCUAAUACUGGAUAUUCACUGAUCUUCGCAUGGGGGUUGGUGGAAAGGUUUGUUCUGGUGGGGGAUGGGCUCGCGGCCUAUCAGCUUGUUGGUGGGGUGAUGGCCUACCAAGGCUUUGACGGGUAGCCGGCCUGAGAGGGUGACCGGUCACAUUGAGACUGAGAUACGGCCCAGACUCCUACGGGAGGCAGCAGUGGGGAAUAGUGCACAAUGGGCGAAAGCCUGAUGCAGCGACGCCGCGUGAGGGAUGGAGGCCUUCGGGUUGUAAACCUCUUUCGCUCAUGGUCAAGCCGCAACUGUGGGUUGUGGUGAGGGUAGUGGGUAAAGAAGCGCCGGCUAACUACGUG
rnacentral:rRNA from 1 species